GGAUGUGAGGGCAAUCUGGCUGUGGCAUCUAUCACACCAUUGAUCGCCAGGGUUGAUUCAGCUGAUCUGGCUGGCUAGUUGGGUGUCUCCUUCCUCCCUCACCACCCCAUGUGUGUCCCUCCUGAAGCUGUGUGCUCGGUCAAAGAAGACAAACUUCCCCAACAUAGGUGUUACCAUUCAUCAGUCACUGGUAUACAGUAACUAUGCUCCCCUGUGACCUCCAAACAAGCUCAAGGUCCAGUUGUGGAAGAACAUAGGGUAGUCAAGCUUCCAAGACUGCAGACACAUCCAAGUGAGGCACUGCAUGUGGCAGUCUGUCAUUCUUU
rnacentral:snRNA from 14 species